GGGUCCUCAUCCCUGGAGACAGCCAGAUGUGGCCCAGGAUCCCACCCCAGGAGGUGCAGGGGGAAAGGGUGGCGUCUCUGCUCCCGGGGCGCGGGCCGGCCCAGAGGGGACAGGAAGCCGGGACACCGGGGAUUGUCUCUUGCAACCGCAGCCCAGCCCCAGCCGGAGAGGAAGUUCUGCCGGGCGCUCCGCCGGUGCUUCCCUGUAUAUUGUUGAACAGGAAACAGGGCAGCUCGGAGGCCAGGCGGUGCAGGAGGGAGCGCCGGACGCCGAGCCGCGCGCGCCUGCCGGGACGAGUGGAAGCGAGGCCAGCGGGCAGACGCCCUGAGCUGCUGAGGGCCCUCUCCGCGCUUUACCCUCGCCAGCUCCCGCGCGCGCUCCACGGCUGCUCUCCACGUCCUGCCCCGCGAUGGGGGCCUAACCUGUGCCCUCGCCAGCACCGUGAGCCCCGCCCAUGGGCUCCCCGAGGCCCGCCCAGCCCAACAGGGCACGCGGCGGCUGCAAUGGCGGCUGGCGUCGAGGGCCAAGUGGACGUGCUGGUGGAGCACCCCUUCGAGUACACCGGCCAGGACGGACGCCACGUCGUCAUCCGGCCCAAUGAGCGCUACCGCCUGCUGUGCCGCAGCACCCCGCACUGGUGGCACGUGCGGCGCGAGCCCGGCGGCCGUCCCUUCUACCUGCCUGCCCAGUAUGUGCGCGAGCUGCCGGCCUCGCCGGCCGGUGUGCCCCAGCUCCUGAGCGCGCCCGGCCGGCCCGCCCGCCUGUAUGCGCGGCCCGCGGCGCCCGUGCGCCCGGCGCAGUCCCUGGACGACCUGGCGCGCGCCGCGCCCCCUGGCAGCCCCCGGGAGGGCGCGCGCCGCGCCAAGGCCUGCAGCGUGGCGGGCUCCUGGGUCUGCCCGCGGGUCCUGGCGCCCAGCGCCUCGGAGGAUGUCGACGCCGCCGCCGCGGAGGGGGUCCCGGAGCAGGUGGAUUCGCCCGCUGAGCCCGUGUAUGUGAACGUGGGGCUCCCCCCGGCCCCGUCACCGCCCGCGCCCGCCGCCCCCCGGCCCGACGCAGCGUGGGAGGAGCACAUGGACGAGGGCAGCGGGCGCCGCUACUACUACAACCGGGACACGGGCGCCACCACGUGGGAGCCGCCCUGCGAGGCGGGCCCGGAGGCCUCCCCGGGCUCGGUGGGCAGCCACAAGAGCCUGGAGGGCGAGUGGGACCAGUACUGGGAUGAGGAGAGCCGCAGGGUGUUCUUCUACAAUCCGCUGACGGGCGAGACGGCCUGGGAGGACGCACCCCGGGCCCAGGCCGGGGACGCGGACGAGGACACCGACCUGGACGUGCCGGACAUGUGGCCGGGCCCGAGCCCGGGCAGCCCCGGGGGCCAGCGGCCCCCCACUCCCGAGGCCGACUACCCCGAGCCCCUGUCCAGUUACCCCGAGGAGGAGCACUGUCCCCCCGCUGGCGCCUGUGGGGAGCUCAGCCCCACGUCCCUGUCGUCCCCACCCCCCGGCUGGUCCUGUCACCUAGGCCCGGACCACCAGGCGCUCUACACCAACCACUUCACGGGAGAGCAGUGGGUGCGGCUGGAGGACCAGCACGGCAAGGCCUACUUCUACAGGCCGCAGGACUCCUCCGUGCGCUGGGAGCUGCCCCCGGUCCCCGUCCCUGCCCCUCGAAGCAUCCACAAAACCAGCCGGGAUGGUGCCACCCCAGCCCCAGCCAGCCCCCCACAGGAAAAGAUCAAGACCCUGGACAAGGCAGGGGUGCUGCAUUGUACCCGGACAGCAGACAAGGGGAAGCGUCUCCGGAAGAAGCACUGGAGCACCUCCUGGACAGUGCUGGAGGGCGGUGUCCUGACCUUCUUCAAGGACUCCAAGACCUCAGCCACAGGCGGCCUGAGGCAGCAGCCUUCCAAGCUUUCCACCCCAGAGUACACAGUGGAGCUGAAGGGGGCCUCUCUUUCCUGGGCCCCCAAGGACAAGUCCAGUAAGAAGAAUGUGCUAGAGCUGCGGAGCCGCGACGGCUCUGAGUACCUGAUCCAGCACGACUCGGAGGGCGUCAUCAGCGCCUGGCACCAGGCCAUCGGGCAGGGCAUCGAGGAGCCGCCCGCAGAUCCGGCCCUGGGGGAGGACGUCGAGGCCAGCAGCGCUGACUUCAGGUCCAGCGAGAGGGAGGACGGCACAGCCGCGCCCGCCCCGAGCCCCGGGACCCCCGAGAGCGACCUGAGCCGGGUGCGGCAGAAGCUGCGUAGGUUCCUGCAGAGGCGGCCGACGCUGCAGUCGCUGCGCGAGCGGGGCUACAUCAAGGACCAGGUCUUCGGCUGUGCGCUGGCCACAUUGUGCGCGCGUGAGAAGAGCUCCGUGCCACGCUUCGUGCAGCAGUGCGUGCACGCCGUCGAGGCCCGGGGGCUGGACACGGACGGGCUGUACCGCAUCAGCGGGAACCUGGCCACCAUCCAGAAGCUCCGCUACCACGUGGACCACGAUGAGCGCCUGGACCUGGAUGACGGCCGCUGGACUGACGUCCACGUGCUCACCGGCGCGCUCAAGCUCUUCCUGCGCGAGCUGCCUGAGCCGCUCUUCCCCUUCUCGCACUUCAGCCAGUUCCUCGCAGCCAUCAAGCUGCAGGACCCAGCCCGGCGCGGCCGCUGCGUGCGGGACCUGGUGCGCUCGCUGCCCACUCCGAACCAUGACACUCUGCAGCUGCUGUUCCAGCACCUGCGCCGGGUGGUGGAACAGGGGGAGCAGAACCGCAUGUCAGUGCAGAGUGUGGCCAUCGUGUUCGGGCCCACUCUGCUGCGGCCCGAGACAGAGGAGGGCAGCAUGCCCAUGACCAUGGUGUUCCAGAACCAGGUGGUGGAGCUCAUCCUGCAGCAGUGCGCAGACAUCUUCCCGCCACCCUGAUGGCUGCCACCCACCCUUGUUGCCGCGGGCCCUGGACUUGGCUCGUAGGACCAGGCUUGGACACCUCCUCCUUGAUGGAAAAAUGGGCGUUCUUCAAAUGACUAUCACCUCGCUGAGUCCCAGUCAGGACCUGGUUCCUUCUUCACAAUGCAGACCUUCGGCCCUCACCAUUGCUACGGAGAACUGGCACCACGAGAUGGACUGUGAGUGGUGGUGAUCGCUAUGACGUCAGCUCAAAGGCUUGGCUCAGCUUCAAGGAGAGAGGACAAUGUAGACAUCACCUCUCGAUGGAAAGAGUACCGAAGAACUUGCGGGUCAGGUCAGGCUCCUCGAGACUCCCCUCGCCUGACACCACAGCCAGUGGCUCCCCAACUGCUUCUGAGCUGAGCCCGAGGCCGCUGAGCCGCAUCUCCCCACUGACUGUGUCCACAGGAGAGGGUCUUGGGCAGCCACGCCUCAGCUGAGGACCCCUGGGCUCCUCUCCCAGCCAGGCCCUUCCCUGUCGGUGCCCAUGGCCGGGCGCCCCAGACCAGGCAGGGGUGGCAUGGAGCUUCUCCCAAUCCUUGACAUCGCAGAUCAGUGUAACAGUAUGUGCCCCGAACACAGAAUGUUGCAAUCAGAAAGUGUAAAGGGAGGCUCUCGACCCUGGGACCCUCAUUCACGUACAUGGAGAAUAACCCUGGGCUCUGAACGACCCUCAGAAGUCUGACAAACAGUCUUUUCUGGCUAAGUCUUACUCCAACCCUGGGCUUUCACUGCCUGCAAGUGAAAAACCUCUGCUCACCUCCCCCUGCUCCAUGAGCUUCCCGUGGCUACAGGACGGAAGCUUCCGGAAGGCGGUGCCGUGCCCUCUUGCCUAGCUCCAUGAGCGUUUGCAGAAUGAUCCUCAUGAGGAAAGCUCACGGUCCCUGGCACCCUCCCGGCGCUCCACCCUCUCCCUGCCUGCCUGGUGCUGGGCAGGGCUCCUGUCUGCCACGCACAAUGGGAGGCCACCCAUACUGCAGGAGCCCUGUUUUCCUGGCAUACGCAUGAAGACAGAAUGAAGCCCGGAGAUUCAGAGCCCCGCAGCUGCCAUCUGGACAUGGCCACUGGGGUGGAGACAGGGACAGCCACGGGGCAAGCUCAGUGCAGGUGGAGGAAAGCAGGACCAGGAGGCCAGGGCUGGGGCCGACCCUCGCUAUGCUCGGCCUGGCCUUGCAGCUGUGUUGUGGACAGUCCUGUGCCACCUUCCCUGGGAAGCGCUGUGCAGUUUGUGAACAGAAGUCUGUGAGGCACCACGCUGUGCCUGGUGUGAUGGCCCGGCCAUCCAAGCCCCGGGGCCUCCCCAUUUCAAGCCACGGCCUCUGUGGCCACCACCAGAAGAAAGGAGAGAACAGAGGGCUAGACACCAGCACUCACAGGCUGUGGCCUAGAGUGACACGCGUCACCUCCAUCACAGCCCAGUGGUCAGGGCCACGGAGGUCCAGGUGGCUGCCGCUGUCCUGGGGAAGAGCAGACAGAGGACAGGGGAAGCCACAGAGCUCGGGCCUGGACACCGGCAUGGAGCCUGAGCUGCGCUGUGCAUUCUGUGUGACCUGGGAGUGUGGCUGAGGUGUCCCGCAUCGUGCUGUCCUAUGCCGCAGUCUGAGGGUGAGGAAGGGGCUCUACCUACUUUGCUGCAGGGCAGAGAAACCGAUUCAUGGUUACAGAGCCUGCUUCAUGACGUCUGGCCCAUGGCAAGAAUUUGAUAAACGGCCCCUCUUCAGUUGCACCAGGCAUGCAGCUUCCUUGGGAGGGUUAGCCCAGUCUCCGCGCCCCUCUGAAGCACCCUGUCACCCAGCCCUGCAUGUGAGCGUCUCACCCUAACAGGGCUCGAGCACCGGAGAGCAUUCUGGCCCUCAGGUGGAGGAUCCCGAAGGUCGGUGAGCAAGCGAUGACUCGGCCCCAGGCAUGGCCCUGUUCACAUUCAUCCAGAGCUGGAAAAGUCCACCUGGCUGCUGGGUUCCCUGCAAGGCCCCUCAGAGGUCAGGCUUAGGGGCAGCUCUGGGACAGACACCUGGGGUGGCUGAGUGGCUGGGGAGACGCUGAGCCCUCUCAUUGUACAGUGUGAGGUCACAGUGGCGGGAGAGCCCAGCAGAGCCAGAGGUGGAGGCAGCAACCCAAGCCCCGUGCCCGGCGUCACACUGUCCUCAGAAGCGGUUUCCAGGCUGGCACCUUCCAGGCCUCCUGGCCCCGAGGCAGGUCCUCAUCCUGUGUCCCUCCCGGGCCAAAGUUUGGGGACUUGGCCAUGCCUUCCGGGGGCGUCUGCCCUCUGGCUACUCAGGAGCCGGAGAGGAUGGUGAGAAGCCCAGUUCACUGAUGGCCCUGGGAGUGGACAGCACCCACGUGGGCACCAGGUGAGCAGGGGCAAGUCACACAGCAUGCUGAGGGCCUCUGGCGCGGUCAGCACGCUUCCUCCAGAGGCAGAGGGGAGCAAGCCCCGUGGGCACCACUAGUCGCCCUCCUGCCUGGCCGGGAGGCAGCUUCCUGCCUUCUGCUCUCUCUCCACCCAUGCUGCUCCAGCAAAAGGGAGGGGACCUGGGAUGGUGGCCGCACUGGCCUAGCUUCCCAGGACCCUGUCCUUAGAGCUGAGCUGCAGACUCAGCCCCACUGAGGGUGGGCUGGCUGGCCGGUAACUGGGUGAGGUGACACUGAGGCCCAGGGCUGUGGCACGGGAGGAGCUGAGCAUUCCCGGCCCCACCUCCCCCUGGAGAGGCCAGGACGCAUCCCUGGCACAGAGGCUGUGCCCAUCCCAGGCUGCCAGAGCAGCAGCCUCCACCCCAGGGUUCCGGGGACCAGAGCAGUGUGGAGGACACCCAGGGAAGGCGGCCCUGGGAGCACCCACUCAUGCCUCUCCCAGUCCAGACCUCCUAGACUGUCUGCAGUUGGCACUGCCCACCCCUGCCCUCACGCCUGGGACAGCCUGUGGAUGGUCCCUUCUGUUACUCAGCUGUGCUGCCAACAAUGGAAGAAUGAAUGCUAAGUGAUGGGCUUUCUCUGCCCUACGAGGCUGCAGGCAACUGUGAAGAGACCUUGAGGCCAGAGGAGCCCACCUGAGCCUCCACCUGUGGCAAGCAGCCAGUGCCUGGCCUGGGCGAGGAGCGUGGGGUGGGCCGGGCAGGAAAAGCACGAGAGCUUGAGGGUGAAGAUUCAUGUUCGGUUUAGUCCUGUUUGUUGCAGGCUCACCAACUUACCAACAGUCCUAGACCGCUAGACUUCCUUGCUCUUCUCCUGUUAACAGCGUCCUCGAGCUGUAAUUCACAUACACGCGGCUCAGUC